rnacentral:rRNA from 1 species
GAUGAACGCUGGCGGCGUGCCUAAUACAUGCAAGUCGAGCGAACUGACGAGAAGCUUGCUUCUCUGAUGUUAGCGGCGGACGGGUGAGUAACACGUGGAUAACCUACCUAUAAGACUGGGAUAACUUCGGGAAACCGGAGCUAAUACCGGAGGAUAUUUUGAACCGCAUGGUUCAAAAGUGAAAGACGGUCUUGCUGUCACUUAUAGAUGGAUCCGCGCUGCAUUAGCUAGUUGGUAAGGUAACGGCUUACCAAGGCAACGAUGCAUAGCCGACCUGAGAGGGUGAUCGGCCACACUGGAACUGAGACACGGUCCAGACUCCUACGGGAGGCAGCAGUAGGGAAUCUUCCGCAAUGGGCGAAAGCCUGACGGAGCAACGCCGCGUGAGUGAUGAAGGUCUUCGGAUCGUAAAACUCUGUUAUUAGGGAAGAACAUAUGUGUAAGUAACUGUGCACAUCUUGACGGUACCUAAUCAGAAAGCCACGGCUAACUACGU